ACACGCAUGGUGAAGCGGUUAUCAUGCUUGCCUUCCAGUUGAGGCGAUUUCCGCUAACCGUUAGCAAGCGGCAGGGGUUCGACUCCCCUUGCGUGUA